AGAACGAACGCUGGCGGCAUGCCUAAUACAUGCAAGUCGAACGAACACUUCGGUGUUAGUGGCGCACGGGUGCGUAACGCGUGGGAAUCUGCCCUUGGGUUCGGAAUAACAGUUGGAAACGACUGCUAAUACCGGAUGAUAUCGAAAGAUCAAAGAUUUAUCGCCCAGGGAUGAGCCCGCGUAGGAUUAGCUAGUUGGUGAGGUAAAGGCUCACCAAGGCGACGAUCCUUAGCUGGUCUGAGAGGAUGAUCAGCCACACUGGGACUGAGACACGGCCCAGACUCCGUACGGGAGGCAGCAGUAGGGAAUAUUGGACAAGUGGGCGCAAGCCUAGAUCCAGCAAGUCGCCGCGUGAGUGAUGAAGGUCGUUAGGGUUAGUAAACGUCUUACGUUUUACCCGAGUAGUAGUAGUAAUAGAACGUAGUAGUACGG
rnacentral:rRNA from 1 species